rnacentral:rRNA from 1 species
GGUUAAGCGACUAAGCGUACACGGUGGAUGCCCUGGCAGUCAGAGGCGAUGAAGGACGUGCUAAUCUGCGAUAAGCGUCGGUAAGGUGAUAUGAACCGUUAUAACCGGCGAUUUCCGAAUGGGGAAACCCAGUGUGAUUCGUCACACUAUCAUUAACUGAAUCCAUAGGUUAAUGAGGCGAACCGGGGGAACUGAAACAUCUAAGUACCCCGAGGAAAAGAAAUCAACCGAGAUUCCCCCAGUAGCGGCGAGCGAACGGGGAGCAGCCCAGAGCCUGAAUCAGUGUGUGUGUUAGUGGAAGCGUCUGGAAAGGCGCGCGAUACAGGGUGACAGCCCCGUACACAAAAAUGCACAUGCUGUGAGCUCGAUGAGUAGGGCGGGACACGUGGUAUCCUGUCUGAAUAUGGGGGGACCAUCCUCCAAGGCUAAAUACUCCUGACUGACCGAUAGUGAACCAGUACCGUGAGGGAAAGGCGAAAAGAACCCCGGCGAGGGGAGUGAAAAAGAACCUGAAACCGUGUACGUACAAGCAGUGGGAGCCUCUUUAUGGGGUGACUGCGUACCUUUUGUAUAAUGGGUCAGCGACUUAUAUUCUGUAGCAAGGUUAACCGAAUAGGGGAGCCGAAGGGAAACCGAGUCUUAACUGGGCGUUAAGUUGCAGGGUAUAGACCCGAAACCCGGUGAUCUAGCCAUGGGCAGGUUGAAGGUUGGGUAACACUAACUGGAGGACCGAACCGACUAAUGUUGAAAAAUUAGCGGAUGACUUGUGGCUGGGGGUGAAAGGCCAAUCAAACCGGGAGAUAGCUGGUUCUCCCCGAAAGCUAUUUAGGUAGCGCCUCGUGAAUUCAUCUCCGGGGGUAGAGCACUGUUUCGGCAAGGGGGUCAUCCCGACUUACCAACCCGAUGCAAACUGCGAAUACCGGAGAAUGUUAUCACGGGAGACACACGGCGGGUGCUAACGUCCGUCGUGAAGAGGGAAACAACCCAGACCGCCAGCUAAGGUCCCAAAGUCAUGGUUAAGUGGGAAACGAUGUGGGAAGGCCCAGACAGCCAGGAUGUUGGCUUAGAAGCAGCCAUCAUUUAAAGAAAGCGUAAUAGCUCACUGGUCGAGUCGGCCUGCGCGGAAGAUGUAACGGGGCUAAACCAUGCACCGAAGCUGCGGCAGCGACGCUGAUGCGUUGUUGGGUAGGGGAGCGUUCUGUAAGCCUGUGAAGGUGUGCUGUGAGGCAUGCUGGAGGUAUCAGAAGUGCGAAUGCUGACAUAAGUAACGAUAAAGCGGGUGAAAAGCCCGCUCGCCGGAAGACCAAGGGUUCCUGUCCAACGUUAAUCGGGGCAGGGUGAGUCGACCCCUAAGGCGAGGCCGAAAGGCGUAGUCGAUGGGAAACAGGUUAAUAUUCCUGUACUUGGUGUUACUGCGAAGGGGGGACGGAGAAGGCUAUGUUGGCCGGGCGACGGUUGUCCCGGUUUAAGCGUGUAGGCUGGUUUUCCAGGCAAAUCCGGAAAAUCAAGGCUGAGGCGUGAUGACGAGGCACUACGGUGCUGAAGCAACAAAUGCCCUGCUUCCAGGAAAAGCCUCUAAGCAUCAGGUAACAUCAAAUCGUACCCCAAACCGACACAGGUGGUCAGGUAGAGAAUACCAAGGCGCUUGAGAGAACUCGGGUGAAGGAACUAGGCAAAAUGGUGCCGUAACUUCGGGAGAAGGCACGCUGAUAUGUAGGUGAAGUCCCUCGCGGAUGGAGCUGAAAUCAGUCGAAGAUACCAGCUGGCUGCAACUGUUUAUUAAAAACACAGCACUGUGCAAACACGAAAGUGGACGUAUACGGUGUGACGCCUGCCCGGUGCCGGAAGGUUAAUUGAUGGGGUCAGCGCAAGCGAAGCUCUUGAUCGAAGCCCCGGUAAACGGCGGCCGUAACUAUAACGGUCCUAAGGUAGCGAAAUUCCUUGUCGGGUAAGUUCCGACCUGCACGAAUGGCGUAAUGAUGGCCAGGCUGUCUCCACCCGAGACUCAGUGAAAUUGAACUCGCUGUGAAGAUGCAGUGUACCCGCGGCAAGACGGAAAGACCCCGUGAACCUUUACUAUAGCUUGACACUGAACAUUGAGCCUUGAUGUGUAGGAUAGGUGGGAGGCUUAGAAGUGUGGACGCCAGUCUGCAUGGAGCCGACCUUGAAAUACCACCCUUUAAUGUUUGAUGUUCUAACGUUGACCCGUAAUCCGGGUUGCGGACAGUGUCUGGUGGGUAGUUUGACUGGGGCGGUCUCCUCCUAAAGAGUAACGGAGGAGCACGAAGGUUGGCUAAUCCUGGUCGGACAUCAGGAGGUUAGUGCAAUGGCAUAAGCCAGCUUGACUGCGAGCGUGACGGCGCGAGCAGGUGCGAAAGCAGGUCAUAGUGAUCCGGUGGUUCUGAAUGGAAGGGCCAUCGCUCAACGGAUAAAAGGUACUCCGGGGAUAACAGGCUGAUACCGCCCAAGAGUUCAUAUCGACGGCGGUGUUUGGCACCUCGAUGUCGGCUCAUCACAUCCUGGGGCUGAAGUAGGUCCCAAGGGUAUGGCUGUUCGCCAUUUAAAGUGGUACGCGAGCUGGGUUUAGAACGUCGUGAGACAGUUCGGUCCCUAUCUGCCGUGGGCGCUGGAGAACUGAGGGGGGCUGCUCCUAGUACGAGAGGACCGGAGUGGACGCAUCACUGGUGUUCGGGUUGUCAUGCCAAUGGCACUGCCCGGUAGCUAAAUGCGGAAGAGAUAAGUGCUGAAAGCAUCUAAGCACGAAACUUGCCCCGAGAUGAGUUCUCCCUGACUCCUUGAGAGUCCUGAAGGAACGUUGAAGACGACGACGUUGAUAGGCCGGGUGUGUAAGCGCAGCGAUGCGUUGAGCUAACCGGUACUAAUGAACCGUGAGGCUUAACCUU